GUGAGGCUCUGGGAUCUCUGUCCUUCACUUUGGUGUUCCUGAGGGAGGACCUGAGCAAAAAGAGCUGAUGCUGUCACGGGUGACUCCUCUGUAAGUCUUCUUUUUGCUGGAUAACAGCGCUCGGGCCUGAUUUGUCUGCAUGCAUGGCCGACGCAGAGCAUCAUUUCCAUAACGGGCUUGUUUGUUGCCAUGGUGCCGGCGUCGAGCAUUAAGGUCCCAUUUACCGAAGGUGGAGUUAACCACUCAACACAUGGGAGGGCAGUAAAACACCAAUCUGCAUAUGAUAAAUGCAUCACCUCCUCCCACAUGCAUGAAGAAUCAGGAGAGGAAAAGACGAUUUAAGGAGAAACCCUGUUGUUUAGAGGGUUUUCAGUGUUCUGAUGAUCUGCACUAUGAAUGUCUAAUGUGAGUAUGAUGUUGGUGUAAUGACUGUCAUUCAGUGCUGGAGGAAAGGGCUGUGACUGCUCCUCUGACUGCACAGGAGCCACUACGAGAUGCUUUGAC